rnacentral:rRNA from 1 species
UACGUAGGGCGCAAGCGUUGUCCGGAAUUAUUGGGCGUAAAGAGCUCGUAGGCGGUUUGUCGCGUCUGUCGUGAAAGCUUGGGGCUUAACCCCAAGUCUGCGGUGGAUACGGGCAGACUAGAGGCAGGUAGGGGAGAACGGAAUUCCUGGUGUAGCGGUGAAAUGCGCAGAUAUCAGGAGGAACACCGAUGGCGAAGGCAGGUCUCUGGGCCGAUACUGACGCUGAGGAGCGAAAGCGUGGGGAGCGAACAGG